CAUUUACAAUUAACCCAAACCAUA
rnacentral:miRNA from 1 species